rnacentral:rRNA from 1 species
AUUGAACGCUGGCGGCAGGCUUAACACAUGCAAGUCGAGCGGAGAUGAGGUGCUUGCACCUUAUCUUAGCGGCGGACGGGUGAGUAAUGCUUAGGAAUCUGCCUAUUAGUGGGGAACAACAUUCCGAAAGGAAUGCUAAUACCGCAUACGCCCUACGGGGGAAAGCAGGGGAUCUUCGGCCAUUGCGCUAAUAGAGGAGCCUAAAUCGGAUUAGCUAGUUGGUGGGGUAAAGGCAUACCAAGGCGACGAUCUGUAGCGGGUCUGAGAGGAUGAUCCGCCACACUGGGACUGAGACACGGCCCAGACUGCUACGGGAGGCAGCAGUGGGGAAUAUUGGACAAUGGGCGGAAGCCUGAUCCAGCCAUGCCGCGUGUGUGAAGAAGGCCUUUUGGUUGUAAAGCACUUUAAGCGAGGAGGAGGCUACCUGGAUUAAUACUCUAGGAUAGUGGACGUUACUCGCAGAAUAAGCACCGGCUAACUCUGUGCCAGCAGCCGCGGUAACAC